AGCGAACGCUGGCGGCAGGCCUAACACAUGCAAGUCGAACGAACUCUUCGGAGUUAGUGGCGGACGGGUGAGUAACACGUGGGAACGUGCCUUUAGGUUCGGAAUAACUCAGGGAAACUUGUGCUAAUACCGAAUGUGCCCUUCGGGGGAAAGAUUUAUCGCCUUUAGAACGGCCCGCGUCUGAUUAGCUAGUUGGUGAGGUAAAGGCUCACCAAGGCGACGAUCAGUAGCUGGUCUGAGAGGAUGAUCAGCCACAUUGGGACUGAGACACGGCCCAAACUCCUACGGGAGGCAGCAGUGGGGAAUCUUGCGCAAUGGGCGAAAGCCUGACGCAGCCAUGCCGCGUGAAUGAUGAAGGUCUUAGGAUUGUAAAAUUCUUUCACCGGGGACGAUAAUGACGGUACCCGGAGAAGAAGCCCCGGCUAACUUCGUGCCAGCAGCCGCGGUAAUACGAAGGGGGCUAGCGUUGCUCGGAAUUACUGGGCGUAAAGGGAGCGUAGGCGGACAUUUAAGUCAGGGGUGAAAUCCCGGGGCUCAACCUCGGAAUUGCCUUUGAUACUGGGUGUCUUGAGUAUGAGAGAGGUGUGUGGAACUCCGAGUGUAGAGGUGAAAUUCGUAGAUAUUCGGAAGAACACCAGUGGCGAAGGCGACACACUGGCUCAUUACUGGCGCUGAGGCUCGAAAGCGUGGGGAGCAAACAGGAUUAGAUACCCUGGUAGUCCACGCCGUAAACGAUGAUUGCUAGUUGUCGGGAUGCAUGCAUUUCGGUGACGCAGCUAACGCAUUAAGCAAUCCGCCUGGGGAGUACGGUCGCAAGAUUAAAACUCAAAGGAAUUGACGG
rnacentral:rRNA from 1 species